rnacentral:tRNA from 1 species
GAAUAUGUGCCUGAGUAAAGGAUUAACUUGAUAGGUUAAAUUAUGAAAAAUUUUUAUUCC